rnacentral:rRNA from 1 species
UACGGAAGGCAGCAGUGGGGAAUAUUGCACAAUGGGCGCAAGCCUGAUGCAGCCAUGCCGCGUGUAUGAAAAAGGCCUUCGGGUUGUAAAGUACUUUCAGUCGUGAGGAAGGUGUUAAGGUUAAUAACCUUAGCAAUUGACGUUAGCGACAGAAGAAGCACCGGCUAACUCCGUGCCAGCAGCCGCGGUAAUACGGAGGGUGCGAGCGUUAAUCGGAAUUACUGGGCGUAAAGGGCACGCAGGCGGUUAAUUAAGUUGGAUGUGAAAUCCCCGGGCUUAACCUGGGAAUGGCAUUCAAGACUGGUUAGCUAGAGUCUUGUAGAGGGGGUAGAAUUCCAUGUGUAGCGGUGAAAUGCGUAGAGAUGUGGAGGAAUACCGGUGGCGAAGGCGGCCCCUGGACAAAGACUGACGCUCAUGUGCGAAAGCGUGGGGAGCAAACCAGGGAUUAGAUACCCGU